rnacentral:rRNA from 1 species
GACGGGGGAUGCAAGUGUUAUCCGGAAUCACUGGGCGUAAAGCGUCUGCAGGUGGUUUCCUAAGUCCACUGUUAAACCUUGAGGCUCAACCUCAAAUCUGCAUUGGAAACUAGGAGACUUGAGUAUAGUAGGGGUAGAGGGAAUUUCCAGUGGAGCGGUGAAAUGCGUAGAUAUCGGGAGGAACACCUGUGGCGAAAGCGGCGCACUGGACCAUAACUGACGCUGAGGCGCGAAAGCUAGGGGAGCAAACAGG